rnacentral:rRNA from 1 species
GACGAACGCUGGCGGCGUGCUUAACACAUGCAAGUCGAACGGAAAGGCCCUGCUUUUGUGGGGUGCUCGAGUGGCGAACGGGUGAGUAACACGUGAGUAACCUGCCCUUGACUUUGGGAUAACUUCAGGAAACUGGGGCUAAUACCGGAUAGGAGCUCCUGCUGCAUGGUGGGGGUUGGAAAGUUUCGGCGGUUGGGGAUGGACUCGCGGCUUAUCAGCUUGUCGGUGGGGUAGUGGCUUACCAAGGCUUUGACGGGUAGCCGGCCUGAGAGGGGGACCGGCCACAUUGGGACUGAGAUACGGCCCAGACUCCUACGGGAGGCAGCAGUGGGGAAUAUUGCACAAUGGGCGGAAGCCUGAUGCAGCAACGCCGCGUGCGGGAUGACGGCCUUCGGGUUGUAAACCGCUUUCGCCUGUGACGAAGCGUGAGUGACGGUAAUGGGUAAAGAAGCACCGGCUAACUACGUG